GUUUAGGUUAGGGAGUUGAGAUUAGGAUUAGGUGUAAGUUUAGGUUUAAGGAUUUGAGAAUACAUUUCGGUUUUAGGUUUAGGUUUAGGUUUGAGGCUUAGGUUUAGGUUAUAGGUUUAGGUUAUAAGUGCAGGUUAUAGGUUUAGGUUUAGGUUAGGUUAUAGGUUAAGGUUUAGGGAAUUGAGAAUAGGUUAAGGUUUAGGUUUAGGAAAUUGGGUUCAGGUUCGGGAUUGGGUUUAGGUUUGGGUUUUCAAGUUUAGGUUUAGGUUUAGGUUUAGGUUAGGGAGUUGAGAUUAGGAUUAUGUGUAGGUUUAGGUUUAGGGAUUUGAGAAUACAUUUAGGUUUUAGGUUUAGGUUUAGGUUUUAGGUUUUAGGUUAUAGUUUAGAUUUUAGGUUUAGGUAAAGGUUAGGUUAUAGGUUAUAAGUUUAGGUUAUAGGUUAUAGGUUAAGGUUUUAGGUCAUAGGUUUUGGUUUAGGUUAAGGUUAUAGGUUUAGGUUAAGGUUUUGGGUCAUAGGUUUUGGUUUAGGUUAAGGUUAUAGGUUUACGUUAAGGUUUUGGGUCAUAGGUUUUGGUUUAUGUUAAGGUUAUAGGUUUAGGUUUAGGUUUAGGUUAA